GCCCGGGUGGUGGAAGUGGUAGACACGAAGGACUUAAAAUCCUUUGGCCGAUGAGGCCGUGCGGGUUCAAGUCCCGCUCCGGGUA
rnacentral:tRNA from 1 species